rnacentral:misc_RNA from 1 species
GAUGAAGAACGUAGUGAAAUGCGAUAAGUAAUGUGAAUUGCAGAAUUCAGUGAAUCAUCGAAUCUUUGAACGCACAUUGCGCCCGCCAGUAUUCUGGCGGGCAUGCCUGUUCGAGCGUCAUUACAACCCUCAGGCCCCCGGGCCUGGCGUUGGGGAUCGGCGGAGCCCCCCGUGGGCACACGCCGUCCCCCAAAUACAGUGGCGGUCCCGCCGCAGCUUCCAUCGCGUAGUAGCUAACACCUCGCGACUGGAGAGCGGCGCGGCCACGCCGUAAAACACCCAACUCUUCUGAAGUUGACCUCGAAUCAGGUAGGAAUACCCGCUGAACUUAAGAAUAUCAAUAAGCGGAGGA